rnacentral:rRNA from 1 species
UACGAAGGGGGCUAGCGUUGUUCGGAAUUACUGGGCGUAAAGCGCACGUAGGCGGAUAUUUAAGUCAGGGGUGAAAUCCCAGAGCUCAACUCUGGAACUGCCUUUGAUACUGGGUAUCUUGAGUAUGGAAGAGGUAAGUGGAAUUCCGAGUGUAGAGGUGAAAUUCGUAGAUAUUCGGAGGAACACCAGUGGCGAAGGCGGCUUACUGGUCCAUUACUGACGCUGAGGUGUGAAAGCGUGGGGAGCAAACAGG